rnacentral:tRNA from 1 species
GGGGCGUUAGGCAAGUUCGGUCUAAGCCGCCACAGUCUCAAUGUGGAGAGCGUGAGUUCGAAUCUCACACGCCCUG